GGAGAGGGUGGCAGGGGUUAAGAUGGAGACCAAGGUACCCAGUAUCUGGGUUCUCUGUCACAUGGUGUUUCUGGGCCUAGCCAGAGUGCCAUAGUCUCUAACCCAUGGUGAUUUCUCCUGCCCUAGCCUCCUGAGUGUUGGGGUUCUGGGUGUACACCACUAUGCCUGGCCGUACCCCCAUGUCUCCCUCCCUUUACUCUUUUUUCCAGUUGACCUUCCCGCCCCCCUUUUUUUUUCAGACUUGACCUGGUACUUCGAGGGUAAGGGGCCCCCACCCAAGUUACAGGCAACUGAGAUUGGAUUGGGGUCAACCUCUAAGACAGGCACUGUUGCCUACAGGCAGACAGCACUAUAGCCACAAGGCGGUUUGAAUGAGAUUAGCCUCCAUAGGCUCAUAUGUGAAUUCUUGGUCCUCAGUGGACCCACCUGGGAAAGGUCAGGAGGUGUGGCGUUGGAUGAGGUGUGUCAGUCACUAGCCAUGGGCUUUGAGGUUUCCCUGCUAGCACACUCUCUGUGUCUCGUGCUUGUAAAUCAGAUGUAAGCUCUCAACCCCAGUACCAUUCCUGGCUGCCUGCCUGCUGCUGUGUUCACUGCCGUUUUGGUCACGGACUCUAAGCCUUUAGAAAUGUGAGCCCCAAAUUAAACUUUGUCAUUCCUAA
rnacentral:lncRNA from 1 species